UCCCCGGUUAACCUGCUGACGUGUUAAAUUGCGUGGGCAGAGGCGGUGCGGUCAUCUGGGAUGGAGUAGCCGUGGGCAGGGGAGCGGAGGGUCCCCGCGCAGACGUUUGAGAGCCUCCAUGAGAGCUUGGGACGUUAUUGCGCCACAGAAAGCAGACCUGUGGGCUGGUCAGGCUGUUGAUGGGCUGCUGGGUGACUUGCAGAAUCACCUGAUUUCAGGUGCAGAGGGACAACUUGGCCCGGAAGAGCGACGGAGGAGGCGAGCUGUGCGCCGUAAGCAGGUGCGAAGCGAAGAGGAAAGCGGGCUGUCGGCAGCUCAGCUCCUCGGGCCAGGCGGCAGCUGAGCGUCUCGGCGGUCCGCGGCGUGGCAGUCAAAAGCAAGGGCGGCCGGGUGGGCGCGCGGCCCAGGUAAGGGAGGGCGAGCUGGGACCGUCUGCGGGCAGGCUGUGUUUUCGGGCGGCGUCCGAGCGCGUGCCUCUGGUUUUGCGGGUGCCGCAGACGAGCCGGCAGGGGCGAAGCCGCACGCCGGCCGGCAGCCGAGAAGGUGAGGUGGCGGUGGGCGUUGAGGAGCCCGGUGUUGCCCGGUGUCUCGCUUCAUCUUUUCCUUCUCGCUUUGCAGGCGCUUUGUGGGCCCUCUGGACCGGGAGGAGCACUUGCGGCGUCACCAGCGCUGAGGGUUUGUGACCGCGCCAGCGGCAGGACACGCCGACCGGACCGCCCUGGAACUCAGCAGGAGGCGCUGAAGAGGAACCCGGCGACGCGGGAAGACGGCCGUUGGCGCACGUGGCGUUUUCCUCUGCCGAAGAUGGGUUCGGUCCCUCGGCCCUCUGAAAGCUAAGUGGAGGCGCGAGGGCUGGGAAGGGGCCGGGAAUGGCAGGGACGGGGGGUUUAGCUCUGCUAAGGGCAAGGGCCGUCCAGGAAUCGCGCCCUUGGCGCGGGUGAAGGGCCCGGGGACCUUUACCGUGCGAUGCCAGCGUGUGCCGGGCAG